rnacentral:rRNA from 1 species
CCUACGGGAGGCAGCAGUAAGGAAUAUUGGACAAUGGGCGAGAGCCUGAUCCAGCCAUGCCGCGUGCAGGAAGAAGGACCUAUGGUUUGUAAACUGCUUUUGAAUGGGAGAAAACCUGGGUACGUGUACCCAGCUGAUAGUACCAUUAGAAUAAGCAUCGGCUAACUUCGUGCCAGCAGCCGCGGUAAGACGAAGGAUGCAAGCGUUAUCCGGAUUCAUUGGGUUUAAAGGGAGCGUAGGCGGAUAGAUAAGUCAGUGGUGAAAUCUCUGGGCUUAACCCAGAAACUGCCAUUGAUACUGUUUAUCUAGAGUACAUUUGCUGUGGGCGGAAUAUGACAUGUAGUGGUGAAAUACUUAGAUAUGUCAUAGAACACCGAUUGCGAAGGCAGCUCACAAAAAAUGUAAACUGACGCUGAGGCUCGAAAGUGCGGGGAUCAAACAGGAUUAGAUACCCUGGUAGUCCGCACUGUAAACGAUGAUUACUCGCUGCUUGGAGGCAACUCUGAGUGGNGUUAGACGAAAGAAGAGUAAGUUAAAGUUACCUACCGUUAGGGGUUAGGUACGGCCGGCCGGACCGGUACGGAAACGUUAAAAGUUAAGUUAAGUUAGUUACGGACGUUGAGACGUUAGCCGAACGGACGACCGAACGAAGGGGAAGGUAAGGGAG